AUUAUAACAGAAUAUUUUCGGAUAUUAAGACCCUGGGCCUGGACCGACACAUCGGUAAAAUACACUUCACAGGAUCACCUCAAUGGACACACUGGGGAUCGUGUUUACCAAUGCGGUGAAUGCAAAGAUCAGCGUAUGCCUUCCGGAUGGGAUGUCUGGUGCACAAAAUCUUCGACCAUGUGAAGCUGAACGGCGUAUACGUGUGCCCCGGGCUGUCGAGCGGCACAAGUACCGGCACAGCCGAGUACUGCACCAGUAGCAGCAACAGCACCAGCACCAGCUAGAUCUAAUAAUGGGACACAGCGGAAGAAGAAAUUCCGUCAACGCCGCUUCUCCAAAAACCGAAACGUGGAUCAGUCGCUUUCGUCUGUACCACGAAACAGGAAGAAAUUUUAAUAUUAAUUUACGGUAAGCCAUUGACAUUUCUUUUACAAUUAUAGUUUUUUCAAAAGCUCCAGAAACAAGUGAAUGUUGCUUCGAUUGAUUAUGUCAUAUUGAUUUUACUUUUGAACACAUAGGCUUUGGUCCGAUUCGCGAAUUAAAAUCAAAUUAAACUUAAAAAUGACAGUUCAAUAAUUUUCAAAUAACCCUACUCGCAGAGCAAGAUUACUUUGACCGAUGUUGAAUCGUUUUUGAUAGAUGUUUUGACGGUCUUACUGGGUAGCACCAGCCAUUCUCAUGAGCGGGGGAUUUCAUAAUUUCCGAACUGUCACUUUUAAGUUUAAUUUGAUUUUAAUUCGCGAAUCGGACCAAAGCCUUACAAAACAAUACAAAGUACGAAAAAAGUCCUCUUGAAAGAAAUUUAUAUAAAAAAUGAGAAUUAUAUUUCGGUAAUUCCUAUUUCAAAAAAUGGGAUUUGGUUCGUUAUUUAGAGGGCAGGCCAUAGUAAUUUAUGUAUUCAAUAUGAAUGUAAUGUUUUUAAACAUAUCAGGCAUCAUUUUUCAUAGGGACGUAUGUAACAAAAGUAAACAAAACGAGAUUUUGAAUACAACAUGACAAUCACACGCGACUUUAUAUAAUACUCAUCGAUUUUACUGAUUU